GCGGACAGAUGGGAGCUUGCUCCCUGAUGUUAGCGGCGGACGGGUGAGUAACACGUGGGUAACCUGCCUGUAAGACUGGGAUAACUCCGGGAAACCGGGGCUAAUACCGGAUGGUUGUUUGAACCGCAUGGUUCAAACAUAAAAGGUGGCUUCGGCUACCACUUACAGAUGGACCCGCGGCGCAUUAGCUAGUUGGUGAGGUAACGGCUCACCAAGGCAACGAUGCGUAGCCGACCUGAGAGGGUGAUCGGCCACACUGGGACUGAGACACGGCCCAGACUCCUACGGGAGGCAGCAGUAGGGAAUCUUCCGCAAUGGACGAAAAUCUGACGGAGCAACGCCGCGUGAGUGAUGAAGGUUUUCGGAUCGUAAAGCUCUGUUGUUAGGGAAGAACAAGUACCGUUCGAAUAGGGCCGUACCUUGACGGUACCUAACCAGAAAGCCACGGCUAACUACGUGCCAGCAGCCGCGGUAAUACGUAGGUGGCAAGCGUUGUCCGGAAUUAUUGGGCGUAAAGGGCUCGCAGGCGGUUUCUUAAGUCUGAUGUGAAAGCCCCCGGCUCAACCGGGGAGGGUCAUUGGAAACUGGGGAACUUGAGUGCAGAAGAGGAGAGUGGAAUUCCACGUGUAGCGGUGAAAUGCGUAGAGAUGUGGAGGAACACCAGUGGCGAAGGCGACUCUCUGGUCUGUAACUGACGCUGAGGAGCGAAAGCGUGGGGAGCGAACAGGAUUAGAUACCCUGGUAGUCCACGCCGUAAACGAUGAGUGCUAAGUGUUAGGGGGUUUCCGCCCCUUAGUGCUGCAGCUAACGCAUUAAGCACUCCGCCUGGGGAGUACGGUCGCAAGACUGAAACUCAAAGGAAUUGACGGAGGCCCGCACAAGCGGUGGAACAUGUGGUUUAAUUCGAAGCAACGCGAAGAACCUUACCAGGUCUUGACAUCCUCUGACAAUCCUAGAGAUAGGACGUCCCCUUCGGGGGCAGAGUGACAGGUGGUGCAUGGUUGUCGUCAGCUCGUGUCGUGAGAUGUUGGGUUAAGUCCCGCAACGAGCGCAACCCUUGAUCUUAGUUGCCAGCAUUCAGUUGGGCACUCUAAGGUGACUGCCGGUGACAAACCGGAGGAAGGUGGGGAUGACGUCAAAUCAUCAUGCCCCUUAUGACCUGGGCUACACACGUGCUACAAUGGACAGAACAAAGGGCAGCGAAACCGCGAGGUUAAGCCAAUCCCACAAAUCUGUUCUCAGUUCGGAUCGCAGUCUGCAACUCGACUGCGUGAAGCUGGAAUCGCUAGUAAUCGCGGAUCAGCAUGCCGCGGUGAAUACGUUCCCGGGCCUUGUACACACCGCCCGUCACACCACGAGAGUUUGUAACACCCGAAGUCGGUGAGGUAA
rnacentral:rRNA from 2 species